rnacentral:lncRNA from 1 species
GCUUAGAUAUGCUUCAGAUCAUAUUCCUAUGCUUUUAGACUUCUGGGCUAAUACUGAAUGCAGGGAGAGCAAAAAGAAGCAUAUUCCUAUAUUUGAGCAGUUAUGGUUACAACAUGAAGACAACUCACAAAUUGUCAAAACUACCUGAAAAUGUAGCAAGGGAUAGCUUACUAAUAAACUUAAGGAAACUCUUAAUUAUCUACAUAUAUGGGGAACAGAAAAAUUUGGAGAGGUUCCUAGGAGAAUUAACAAAAUUCAACAAGAGCUCAAAGUACUCAAGAAGUCUAUCCCUGAUGUAUAUACUCUCCAAAAGAUUAAAGAAAAAGAGAAGCUUCUUGAUGAUACUACGAAAGAGGAUGAACUUUGGUGGGCUCAGAGAGCAAAAUCUCACUGGCUUCAAGCACGAGAUAAAAAUUCCAGAUACUUUCACAAAAAAGCUACUCAGAGAAAUAAGAGAAAUACUAUCAAGAGUAUUCAGGAUGUUGAUGGGAGAUGUUGGAGUGACAUCAAUCAUAUUAACAGUAUUUUUAUAGAUUAUUUCACUAAUAUUUUUGCUACUUCAAACCCCACUAACAUGCAGGAUACUAUUGAAGUUGUUAAAAAUAUAAUCAAGCCUGAUAUGCAUGAGUACCUCUAGCAAGAUUUCACUGCUACUGAGGUUUUUGAGGCUAUUAGACAGAUGAAAAGUUCAGCUGCCCCUGGACCAGAUGGUUUACCUGCCCUGUUCUAUCAAUCCUAUUGGGCAGAAAUUGGUACUGAGAUUAUUGAGUAUGCCCUUAAUGUUCUUAAUAACAAUGGAGAUCCUGGUAAUAUCAAUCACACUUUUCUUUGUCUUAUUCCUAAGGUUAAAAAAUCUACUUUACCUUCUGACUUCAGACCAAUUGCCCUUUGUAAUGUAAUUCUUAUAAUCAUUAUAAAGACAAUUGCAAAUAGAAUCAAAAAGGUCAUACCCUUUAUUAUUAGUCCACAACAGAGUGCAUUUUUACCAAACAUGCUUAUUUCUGAUAACACCAUUCUAGCUUAUGAAGUCUUUCAUUUUUAAAAAAAACAUAAAAACAAAAAAUCUGGUGUGGUUGGAAUUAAGCUUGAUAUGGAAAAAGCAUAUCAUAGAGUGGAAUGGGAUUUCCUAGAAAGCACUCUUCUCACUAUGGGCUUCCCUAUUAAAAUUGUUAAAACUAUAAUGCUGUGUGUCAGAAGUGUGUCUUUUUCCAUUCUUAUAAAUGGAUCCCCAUCUACUAUGUUUAAACCUAAAAGGGGAAUUAGACAAGGAGAUCCUCUCUCCCCUUAUCUUUUCAUAAUUUGUGCUGAAGUCCUCUCUGGCCUUAUCACUAAGUACCAUGAACAAGAUAAAACUCAUGGCAUCUUUAUAGCCAGAAACACCCCUGUUAUUUCACAUCUUUUUUUUACUGAUGAUAGCAUGAUGUUCUGCAGAACUCAUAAAAAUGAAGCUAAACACUUAAUGGAGAUUUUUGCUGAAUACCAAAGGAUAUCAUGCCAAAAGAUCAAUCUCAACAAAUCUGAAAUGAUGUUCACCCCAUGCAUUGUAACUGAAGUCCAUUGUGACAUGUUUAAUCAAUAAAAAGUGCUAGGCUUUAUUCAAAAAAAAAAAAAAAAAAAAGUACAUUACACGCUAUGUAUAUUACAUAAUACAUACAUCCAUUAUAUAUUAUAAUGGUCAAUUUAGUAAAAUUGUAUUAAUUUAUUUAGAUAAAAUAGUAUAUAAGACAACUAGUUGUUUGGAACUAAAACAUUUAUCCAGUGUUAUCUUACACUAGUCCUGUCAAAGAAAAUAAAAUGUCAUAGAAAUAUAACUUAAAUAACAUUAAUAUUUACCAUGACAUGCCAAAAAAAUAAUAGGUUUAAAAGAAAUAUAAUAUUUUCAACUUACUAUUAAAGGCAUAUACAUUUAUCUUCCAGGCACCAUGGUGUUGCAGGGAAAAUACAUCGAUUAAUUGCACACUCAAUGAUAGUAGUACAAUUAGUGCCUACGAUGUAAAAAAGAAUAAAAUAAUUUCAUUGAAAGAUGAUAAAUCAUUGUGUAUAAGAUAAAAAAUAAA